rnacentral:rRNA from 1 species
AAAGGAAUUGACGGGGGCCCGCACAAGCGGCGGAGCAUGUGGCUUAAUUCGACGCAACGCGAAGAACCUUACCAAGGCUUGACAUACACCGGAAACGUCUGGAGACAGGCGCCCCCUUGUGGUCGGUGUACAGGUGGUGCAUGGCUGUCGUCAGCUCGUGUCGUGAGAUGUUGGGUUAAGUCCCGCAACGAGCGCAACCCUUGUCCCGUGUUGCCAGCAGGCCCUUGUGGUGCUGGGGACUCACGGGAGACCGCCGGGGUCAACUCGGAGGAAGGUGGGGACGACGUCAAGUCAUCAUGCCCCUUAUGUCUUGGGCUGCACACGUGCUACAAUGGCCGGUACAAUGAGCUGCGAUACCGCGAGGUGGAGCGAAUCUCAAAAAGCCGGUCUCAGUUCGGAUUGGGGUCUGCAACUCGACCCCAUGAAGUCGGAGUCGCUAGUAAUCGCAGAUCAGCAUUGCUGCGGUGAAUACGUUCCCGGG